UCCCUGGUGGUCCAGUGGUUUAAGACUCCUCACCCCCAAUGCAGGGGCCCUGGGUUCGAUCCCCAGUCAGGGAA